CUCAGAGGGAAGGCCACUGCCCCGGGCCCCAGUGCCCUCGCUAGCUCAGGUUCCUAACGACGCCCCGCCCUCACGCUCCUAUCGGUGCCACGCCCUCUUCUCGCCCCGCCCCUUCUGCUUAUGUCUAAUCUCCAUUACGGACGUUAAAACCAUGCAAUGACUGAAGAAAAAGGCAAGCAUCUGCGGCUUCGAAGCAAGAUACUCAACCACAGCUGAGACUUUCUUUGUCCACCCCCCACUCCCGCCUCGAGGGAGGCCCACGUGAAGAAGAUGCAGAUUUCCAGAGCCAUAAAUUAAGGGGCGAUUAGUCACGUUGCAAUCUUUCUUCAAAGGAUUCUUUAAAGGCUCCUUCAUUGAAGUGUUUACAGCACAGUAACUUGCAGACUGAGAGGCUGGGGUGGGGGGUGGGGGUGGGGUGCCAUCAGGGGAACAGCCAGAGAACAGAGAAGACGCUGGGAGAAACGUUGGGAAGGCCCUCCCACGGGAGCCACUCUGCGGAGGACCUGACAGACAAGAUUUCAUGGAUUCAACAGUGGGUCGCCCAGCACCCGCUUGGUGGUGCAUGUAUCCCCGCUGCUGGGGAAGUGAAUAGAAGAAUAAAAAACCAGCAGUGCCAUCUCUUCUCCCCCUCUUUUUCCUGGAACUCUGAAGUUUGGCUUUUGUUGGAUUAAUGACCCCUAAGUUCCCACCUCGGUUUCUGGGAUCAAGUCCCUUAGCCACUCAGCACCUUGGCCCACUGGGCAGCCGGCUGACAGUGAGGGCUGAGCUCACGUGGCAGCUGUGGGGGGCUCAAUGGAGUCUCUUCUGAAGGUGGAGACAGGUCUGCUGGAGCCCAGACUCACCCCCUCUGGAGCCAUUACACAACCUGCUGUCACUUCCAGCUUCGAGUCUCUGUUUCAGCUUCUGUUGUCUCUCUACUCUGCAAACUCCUAGUCACCAUACAAAACCCAAUCUUGUCAGUCACCAUUGGUGUUGCAGCACGAGUUUGCUGUCUGCUGCCCUUGGAUCGUAGGCUCCCUCCCCAAGGGUGAGGAUUAUACUUGUUGGCUCAGGGAACUGAGCCAAUUCCAGUGUCUGACAUAGCUGUAGAAUGGAAUGCUUCAUCUCUGGAAGAAAGGAAAGCUGGCCCCACUGAGAUAUCUGGGCGCAUCUGAACACACAAGCCUGCUGUGUGCCCUAAGUCUGUCACCGUGAACAUAACGCUGUCUCUGUGGCUUCACCCAACCUAAGCCUUAAAAUGGUUGGACCACCCUGGGUCUUUGGGUUUGCAGUCUUGGCUCCUGUGUCAUGCAAAGCUAUAGUGGAAUAAACUUGUCUUGCU
rnacentral:lncRNA from 1 species